UACGGGGGGGGCAAGCGUUGUUCGGAAUUACUGGGCGUAAAGGGCGCGUAGGCGGCCUUCUAAGUCAGACGUGAAAUCCCUCGGCUCAACCGGGGAACUGCGUCUGAGACUGGAGGGCUUGAGUAUGGGAGAGGGAUGUAGAAUUCCAGGUGUAGCGGUGAAAUGCGUAGAUAUCUGGAGGAAUACCGGUGGCGAAGGCGGCAUCCUGGACCAUAACUGACGCUGAGGCGCGAAAGCUAGGGGAGCAAACGGG
rnacentral:rRNA from 1 species